AUUGAACGCUGGCGGCAGGCCUAACACAUGCAAGUCGAACGGUAACAGGAAGCAGCUUGCUGCUUUGCUGACGAGUGGCGGACGGGUGAGUAAUGUCUGGGAAACUGCCCGAUGGAGGGGGAUAACUACUGGAAACGGUAGCUAAUACCGCAUAAUGUCGCAAGACCAAAGAGGGGGACCUUCGGGCCUCUUGCCAUCGGAUGUGCCCAGAUGGGAUUAGCUUGUUGGUGAGGUAACGGCUCACCAAGGCGACGAUCCCUAGCUGGUCUGAGAGGAUGACCAGCCACACUGGAACUGAGACACGGUCCAGACUCCUACGGGAGGCAGCAGUGGGGAAUAUUGCACAAUGGGCGCAAGCCUGAUGCAGCCAUGCCGCGUGUAUGAAGAAGGCCUUCGGGUUGUAAAGUACUUUCAGCGGGGAGGAAGGGGGUAAGGUUAAUAACCUUAGCCAUUGACGUUACCCGCAGAAGAAGCACCGGCUAACUCCGUGCCAGCAGCCGCGGUAAUACGGAGGGUGCAAGCGUUAAUCGGAAUUACUGGGCGUAAAGCGCACGCAGGCGGUCUGUCAAGUUGGAUGUGAAAUCCCCGGGCUCAACCUGGGAACUGCAUUCGAAACUGGCAGGCUUGAGUCUCGUAGAGGGGGGUAGAAUUCCAGGUGUAGCGGUGAAAUGCGUAGAGAUCUGGAGGAAUACCGGUGGCGAAGGCGGCCCCCUGGACGAAGACUGACGCUCAGGUGCGAAAGCGUGGGGAGCAAACAGGAUUAGAUACCCUGGUAGUCCACGCCGUAAACGAUGUCUAUUUGGAGGUUGUGCCCUUGAGGCGUGGCUUCCGGAGCUAACGCGUUAAAUCGACCGCCUGGGGAGUACGGCCGCAAGGUUAAAACUCAAAUGAAUUGACGGGGGCCCGCACAAGCGGUGGAGCAUGUGGUUUAAUUCGAUGCAACGCGAAGAACCUUACCUACUCUUGACAUCCAGAGAAUUUGGCAGAGAUGCUGAAGUGCCUUCGGGAACUCUGAGACAGGUGCUGCAUGGCUGUCGUCAGCUCGUGUUGUGAAAUGUUGGGUUAAGUCCCGCAACGAGCGCAACCCUUAUCCUUUGUUGCCAGCGAUUCGGUCGGGAACUCAAAGGAGACUGCCGGUGAUAAACCGGAGGAAGGUGGGGAUGACGUCAAGUCAUCAUGGCCCUUACGAGUAGGGCUACACACGUGCUACAAUGGCGUAUACAAAGAGAAGCGACCUCGCGAGAGCAAGCGGAACUCAUAAAGUACGUCGUAGUCCGGAUUGGAGUCUGCAACUCGACUCCAUGAAGUCGGAAUCGCUAGUAAUCGUAGAUCAGAAUGCUACGGUGAAUACGUUCCCGGGCCUUGUACACACCGCCCGUCACACCAUGGGAGUGGGUUGCAAAAGAAGUAGGUAGCUUAACCUUCGGGAGGGCGCUUACCACUUUGUGAUCCAUGACUGGGGUGA
rnacentral:rRNA from 1 species